GUGCUUGCUUCGGCAGCACAUAUACUAAAAUUGGAACGAUACAGAGAAGAUUAGCAUGGCCCCUGCACAAGGAUGACACACAAAUUCACGAAGCGUUCCAUAUUUAA
rnacentral:snRNA from 1 species